UGGCUUAAAAACUUAACUUGCUUAACAAACAUAACGAAGAGGACAAAUCGCCAAACUUCCGUUCUGAUCAUCAUCAGCAGUUCCACUUCAUCAAAUGUCAUUUUUUUGAAUGUAUAUGCUUGAUUUGUUGAUAAAAAUACAAAAAUCACUAUA